CCCCUAGAUGUUCUGGGCUGCACGCGCGCUACACUGACCAGUGCAACAAGCAUCCGUCCUUGGCCGACAGGCUCGGGCAAUCUUUGAACGCUGGUCGUGAUGGGGAUAGACUUUUGCAAUUUUUGGUCUUCAACGAGGAAUUCCUAGUAAACGCAAGUCAUCAACUUGCAUUGAUUACGUCCCUGCCCUUUGUACACACCGCCCGUCGCACCUACCGAUUGAAUGGUCCGGUGAAGCCUCCGGAUUGGCGCGCACCUCGGUGCCGCCGAGAAGUUGGCUAAACCUUACCAUUUAGAGGAAGGUGAAGUCGUAACA
rnacentral:rRNA from 1 species